rnacentral:misc_RNA from 1 species
GCACACUCACGAUGCCACGAAGGAGACAAAAAUGCCAGAAAUUCGUGAAACUGAAACUUUAACUGCAGAGAAAUACAACCUUGAAUCAAUAUCAGGACUUUGAGCAACUUUUUGACGCUCGGGCCAUGUUUUUCGCUAUUCAUUAUACCAUUUCAUAUUGGUUAUCAGGCGGCUAUUCCAUGCUCAUUUUGAUUAAACUAGAACUCUAAUUAAAGCUUGAUUAACCCCCUUUUUCUUUACAUAAUUAAUUCAUGGCAUAAUGUUCUCAAUUUGUACGUAGGUGAAAGCCAGUAGUUCUGGUGAGAUAAAAAUCUAACCAAAUCUUGUAAAUUAACGUGGCUUGUUUAGUUUUUGCUUGG